rnacentral:rRNA from 1 species
AUUGAACGCUGGCGGCAGGCCUAACACACGCAAGUCGAGCGGAUGAAGGGAGCUUGCUCCUGGAUUCAGCGGCGGACGGGUGAGUAAUGCCUAGGAAUCUGCCUGGUAGUGGGGGAUAACGUCCGGAAACGGGCGCUAAUACCGCAUACGUCCUGAGGGAGAAAGUGGGGGAUCUUCGGACCUCACGCUAUCAGAUGAGCCUAGGUCGGAUUAGCUAGUUGGUGGGGUAAAGGCCUACCAAGGCGACGAUCCGUAACUGGCCUGAGAGGAUGAUCAGUCACACUGGAACUGAGACACGGUCCAGACUCCUACGGGAGGCAGCAGUGGGGAAUAUUGGACAAUGGGCGAAAGCCUGAUCCAGCCAUGCCGCGUGUGUGAAGAAGGUCUUCGGAUUGUAAAGCACUUUAAGUUGGGAGGAAGGGCAGUAAGUUAAUACCUUGCUGUUUUGACGUUACCAACAGAAUAAGCACCGGCUAACUUCGUG